GACGAACGCUGGCGGCGUGCUUAACACAUGCAAGUCGAACGGAAAGGCCCUGCUUUUGUGGGUUGCUCGAGUGGCGAACGGGUGAGUAACACGUGAGUAACCUGCCCUUGACUUUGGGAUAACUUCAGGAAACUGGGGCUCAUACCGGAUAGGAGCUCCUGCUGCAUGGUGGGGGUUGGAAAGUUUCGGCGGUUGGGGAUGGACUCGCGGCUUAUCAGCGUGUUGGUGGGGUAGUGGCUUACCAAGGCUUUGACGGGUAGCCGGCCUGAGAGGGUGACCGGCCACAUUGGGACUGAGAUACGGCCCAGACUACUACGGGAGGCAGCAGUGGGGAAUAUUGCACAAGGGGCGGAAGCCUGAUGCAGCAACGCCGCGUGCGGGAUGACGGCCUUCGGGUUGUAAACCGCUUUCGCCUGUGACGAAGCGUGAGUGACGGUAAUGGGUAAAGAAGCACAGGCUAACUACGUG
rnacentral:rRNA from 1 species